GAUGAACGCUGGCGGCGUGCCUAAUACAUGCAAGUCGAGCGAACAGAUAAGGAGCUUGCUCCUUUGACGUUAGCGGCGGACGGGUGAGUAACACGUGGGUAACCUACCUAUAAGACUGGGAUAACUUCGGGAAACCGGAGCUAAUACCGGAUAAUAUUUCGAACCGCAUGGUUCGAUAGUGAAAGAUGGUUUUGCUAUCACUUAUAGAUGGACCCGCGCCGUAUUAGCUAGUUGGUAAGGUAACGGCUUACCAAGGCGACGAUACGUAGCCGACCUGAGAGGGUGAUCGGCCACACUGGGACUGAGACACGGUCCAGACUCCUACGGGAGGCAGCAGUAGGGAAUCUUCCGCAAUGGGCGAAAGCCUGACGGAGCAACGCCGCGUGAGUGAUGAAGGUCUUCGGAUCGUAAAACUCUGUUAUUAGGGAAGAACAUACGUGUAAGUAACUGUGCACGUCUUGACGGUACCUAAUCAGAAAGCCACGGCUAACUACGUG
rnacentral:rRNA from 1 species